rnacentral:lncRNA from 10 species
GAGACCAUCCCGGCUAAAACGGUGAAACCCUGUCUCUACUAAAAAUACAAAAAAUUAGCCGGGCGUAGUGGCGGGCGCCUGUAGUCCCAGCUACUUGGGAGGCUGAGGCAGGAGAAUGGCGUGAACCCGGGAGGCGGAGCUUGCAGUGAGCCGAGAUCCCGCCACUGCACUCCAGCCUGGGCGACAGAGCGAGACUCCGUCUCAAAAAAAAAAAAAAAAAAAAAAAAAAAAAGAGUUAAGCCUCUUUUAUAGUUAAAAAAAAAAAUCAGACUUAAAACACUCCCUGGGGGAAGAAUGUACUGGCUUUUUUGGGGAAAACAGAAUAAACUCUACCAUCUUUGGAACAAACAUUCCAGGAGGAAGGAACAUCACAUCAUCCAAUCUGUGGUUUCACUGGAGGAAAUGGAGACCAGGGAACUAGAGUAUUUCAUGCUUUCCAGCACUGCUGUUAUCUGGCUAACAUACCAUCUUUUCAACCAGUGAGAACAUAAAAAAAAGAUACAAAUUCAGAGGGGCACGCAAGACCUUACAUCCCU